CAGUAGCCGCGGGAAUACAGAGGUCCCGAGCGUUGUUCGGAUUCACUGGGCGUAAAGGGUGUGUAGGAGGUUGGAUAAGUCAGGUGUGAAAUCCCACAGCUCAACUGCGGAACUGCAUUCGAUACUGUUCAACUAGAGGAUCGGAGGGGGAAGCGGAAUUCUUGGUGUAGCGGUGAAAUGCGUAGAUAUCAAGAGGAACACCGGUGGCGAAGGCGGCUUCCUGGAAGAUACCUGACUCUGAAACACGAAAGCCAGGGGAGCGAAUGGGAUUAGAUACCCCGGUAGUCCCUGUCUCUUAUAC
rnacentral:rRNA from 1 species